AAUGUCUCGGAACGUGCCUAGUAGCGGGGGAUAACUACCCGAAAGCGUAGCUAAUACCGCAAACGCCCUACGGGGGAAAGCAGGGGAUCGCCAGACCUUGCACUAUUAGAGCGGCCUAUGUCGGAUUAGCUAGUUGGUGGGGUAACGGCUCACCAAGGCGACGAUCCGUAACUGGUUUGAGAGGACGACCAGCCACACUGGGACUGAGACACGGCCCAGACUCCUACGGGAGGCAGCAGUGGGGAAUUUUGGACAAUGGGGGAAACCCUGAUCCAGCCAUCCCGCGUGUGCGAUGAAGGCCUUCGGGUUGUAAAGCACUUUUGGCAGGAAAGAAACGUCAUGGGCUAAUACCCCGUGAAACUGACGGUACCUGCAGAAUAAGCACCGGCUAACUACGUGCCAGCAGCCGCGGUAAUACGUAGGGUGCAAGCGUUAAUCGGAAUUACUGGGCGUAAAGCGUGCGCAGGCGGUUCGGAAAGAAAGAUGUGAAAUCCCAGAGCUUAACUUUGGAACUGCAUUUUUAACUACCGAGCUAAAGUGUGUCAGAGGGAGGUGGAAUUCCGCGUG
rnacentral:rRNA from 1 species